rnacentral:sRNA from 1 species
AGUUAUAAGAAAUAUACUAUUGAUGUAUAUAUAUAAUUUGUUUAUUGAUCCUAUAGGGUGGUUGAAUUGAUGGAGAUUUAUGAGGUAGACAGGCAAGAGAUGAUGAGAUUGAUUCAUGAAUAACAAUAUGCGCAUGAGGGAAGAAGAAUAUAUAUUAAACAAGAUAUUAGAUAAUAUUGGGAGUUCAAGAUUAGAACUCUCUAUGAUGAAAGCACAAUAAGAUCAAUAGUCAAAGAGAUUACAUCAGGUAUUAGUGGCUCCAUUACCGCUCAGGACAGGGACUCACUUGAUGAGAAGUCUGGAUUUUCUUUCUUAAAUUGUAAGAUUGAUGUAACUGGGAAGGUGUGGCUUGAGAGACCCUAAAGAGCCUAAGCAACUGUGGUUUUCUCUCAAACUUACAUGUCUCAAGUCAUCUCUACCGAUGGAUGGAAUGACUGGGGAAUCUGACCUAAGACAAGUAAGUGUAGUAACUUUCAUUGCAAGUCAUAUACUACAUAAUCUAAAUUAUGCUGAAAUGGGUUUUGUUUUCAUUAAGACUAAUGAUGUAUAACGUGUAAUACUACGAUGUCCUUAACGUCUAGAUUUUUGAGCUAAAAAGAUCAAAUGAACUUGGUAUAAGGUCUUUGUCAAAGAAAUAAUAGUUUGUAAUGUAUUGAUCAUAGCAUAACCAAGUUUAGAAUGAGAGAGUAAGAGUAGCUAUACUAGAGCCUUUGCCUUUUUCUUCACAACAUUAAAACUUGAAGAAAUCUUAACUUAUUGACUAAGUAGUGAGGAAAGAGUAGUUAUCACUAAUGCCUAAUUGGGCAGAUUGUAAGUAGCUCUAUUAACUUCUCUCCUUCUUGUCCCUUUAAGAUGAAAACUCCCUUAAUCAAGCAAGUACAAGCAAUUUUUAAGCAAAUGUUAAGCAUUUUUUGAGCAAAUGUUAAGCAUUUUUUGAGCAAAUGUUAAGCAUUUUUCUGCUUUUUUAAUAUAAGUUAUGAACAUUUACACCAUGUGGAGUGGCAUAGUCGUGUUCUACCAUAGACUGAUUCAAGUGACAUAAUUAGAUUUUUUUUUACUUUUGUAUAGUUUGGUAAUAAUGUAGGUUUUUAAAUAAGAUUUUUUCAAACAAAGUUUAUUGAAAAACAAAUACUUAAAAACACAAUGUGUGCUUUUAUUUAAAUAUUUUAUUAGAAUAUAACAAAAAUAAAAACUUAAGAUGAGUGUUAAAAGCAUCUUGAUCAUUGUACAAGAUACCAACUCUCAUAAUAAAUACAUGUAAAAGUCAUCAAUUGAACGAACGGAAUUCAUUUUCGUGAAUUGCAAAAUUAAAGGAAGCAUGGAGAUCUUAUGCAAAUGUUGUCUUCUCCAAGACAUAUAUGUCUAGAGUUAUAUCUUUUGAUGGGUGGAAUGACAUGGGAGAUCACAAGACACGAAGGUUAGUCAACAUAAAUCACAAUGAACAGAUUAAUAGGAGUGUGUAUUACUGACUUAAUUGAGUUGAUUUUUUAGGACUGUGUAUUACGGAGAGCAUCGGUGCUACGUAUCAUUAGCAUCAAUUCUUUUCUUCUUUUUAUCAAAUAUAUAUACAACUAUAGUUAUAAUUGAUAAUGCAACAUAACUUACUAAUAUAAUUAAUUCAGAAAUAUAAGAAUAAACGUGGCUCAUAAGAAAUGAAAGAAAUUGUUGUUUGAAAUACCAAAAGCAUUUGUAUGAAACAAAAAUCUUCCGUACUUUUUGGGUUGUAAUUAAUAUAUCAUUAGGAUUUCUGCAGUUCUAGAAAUUCGCAAUCUACAAAUAAUUCCAAUUGACGACCAACUUUUUUUUAGUGUGUUUUUGAAUUCAUUCUAGUCAUGAGUAAACUCAUAUUAAGAAAAAAAGAAUAUAUGGUCUAUGAUUUUAUUUUACUGGAACUCUUUUAUUUUAUUUUAUUUUUAACAGGUCAGAUUUAGAUGGAAGAGAUCUAUAAUCCUAUAUUAAACAUAAUACUAUUAAAAUAACAGAGCUAUUAAAACUUUAAAUCUCUUCUAUUUGUAGAAAAUCACAAUCAUGUUUUUAGUCUCGUCUUUAUAUUUGUAGAAAAUCACAAUCAUGUUUUCACAAGAAAAAAAUCACAAUCAUGUUCAUGUGGAUGAAAGAUAUUGCUUGUGUGCUUUGUAUUUCUUUCCUUUAAAUUACCAUAUCUGACGUAGUCUAUUAAAAAAUUUAAUUCACCUUAAUUUAUAAACAUCAUAAAAAUGGUAAUUUCAUUUAUCUUAUAUAAUGAUCUUGCAUGAUUCAAGAAAAUUUUCAUUUAGGUUCGCGAGAGAAAACGUAUUCUAGAAAAGUGGCAAACUCGGUGUCCAUAUAUUGUGGUGGAUUAUGUUCAUCGACGAGCUUUGGUGAUGGCUUCACGACGGAUAUCAAGGGAAAGCUUUGCAUCGACGCCACUGAUCUCCUAGGCUUUGUGGAAUUCACCAAUACUCUAUGUAGAACGCUUUUGUACCUCCUGUUUAGGGGUGUCAAAAUCGGUUAAGAUUCAUGGGUCAACUCAACUCAACCCAUGAACCAUAAUGAGUUAAAUUUUUUGAUUCAAAUGAGUUGAUAAAUCAAAUGAGUUAAAGGUCAAUUGAUUUGAUGAAUAAAAUAUCUACAGAGAAUAAACAAAAAAUAGUUAGUUUUGUAGAAAUGUUUUAGAUCAAUAUCCCCUUAUUAUUAAAAGGGAAGUACAAAUUGAAAAAUGGUUUAAUUUGUGAUCAAUUUCAAUUUUAAUUUUGGAUUUUGUAUAUUAUUAAUCAAAGUCGUCAAUGGUAAUUUGGUCAUCACACUAUAUUUUUUAAACAAACUAUAUUUCAACUUUAAAUAAUGAUCCUUUAACACACUAUAUUCAAUACUUAUCACCUAUUUAUUAUUUUUCAAAGAU